UACAGAGGUCCCGAGCGUUGUCCGGAAUCACUGGGCGUAAAGGGCGCGUAGGCGGCCUGAUAAGUAGGGGGUGAAAUCCUGCGGCUUAACCGCAGGGCUGCCUUCUAAACUGUCAGGCUCGAGCACAGUAGAGGCAGGUGGAAUUCCCGGUGUAGCGGUGGAAUGCGUAGAGAUCGGGAAGAACAUCAGUGGCGAAGGCGGCCUGCUGGGCUGUUGCUGACGCUGAGGCGCGACAGCGUGGGGAGCAAACAGG
rnacentral:rRNA from 1 species